GGUGGAAUAAUUGGUCAGAGCGUCCGCCUCGGAAGCGGGAGGUCGUAGGUUCAAAUCCCAGAUGAGUCA